rnacentral:rRNA from 1 species
UACGAAGGGGGCUAGCGUUGCUCGGAAUCACUGGGCGUAAAGCGCACGUAGGCGGCUUCUUAAGUCAGGGGUGAAAUCCUGGAGCUCAACUCCAGAACUGCCCUUGAUACUGAGGAGCUCGAGUCCGGAAGAGGAGAGUGGAAUUCCUGGUGUAGCGGUGAAAUGCGCAGAUAUCAGGAAGAACACCCGUGGCGAAGGCGGCUCUCUGGGACGGUACUGACGCUGAGACGCGAAAGCGUGGGGAGCGAACAGG